rnacentral:rRNA from 1 species
GACGAACGCUGGCGGCGUGCUUAACACAUGCAAGUCGAACGGAAAGGCCUGCUUUCCCUUGUGGAUUGCGGGUACUCGAGUGGCGAACGGGUGAGUAACACGUGAGUGAUCUGCCCCCAACUUGGGUAUAAGCCUGGGAAACUGGGUCUAAUUCCCGAUAGGACUGCAGGGUGGUGCCUGUGGUGGAAAACGAUUUUCUAGUGGUUGGGGAUGAGCUCGCGGCCUAUCAGCUUGUUGGUGGGGUAAUGGCCUACCAAGGCGGCGACGGGUAGCCGGCCUGGGAGGGUGGACGGACACAUUGGGACUGAGAUACGGCCCAGACUCCUACGGGAGGCAGCAGUGGGGAAUAGUGCACAAUGGGCGGAAGCCUGAUGCAGCGACGCCGCGUGGGGGAUGACGGCCUUCGGGUGGUAAACUCCUUUCGACCGCGAGGAAGCCACCUGGUUGGAAGGGUGGUGACGGUAGUGGUAGAAGAAGCACCGGCUAACUACGUG